AGGCAUGCCGCGGCUACACAUGCAAGUCGAGCGGAUGAAUAGAGCUUGCUCUCUGAUUUUCGGCGGACGGGUGAGUAAUGCCUAGGAAUCUGCCUGGUAGUGGAGGAUAACGUUCCCAAAGGAACGCUAAUACCGCAUACGUCCUACGGGAGAAAGCUGGGGACCUUCGGGCCUUGCGCUUUCGCAUGAGCCUAGGUCGGAUUACCUAGUUGGUGAGGUAAUGGCUCACCAAGGCGACCAUCCGUAACUGGACUGAGAGGAUGAUCAGUCACACUGGAACUGACACUGGGUCCGAACUCCUACGGGAAGCCGCAGUGGGGAAUAUUGGACAAUGGCCUAAAGCCUGAUCCAGCCAUGCCGCGAGUGUGAAGAAGGGCUUCAGAUUGGAAAGCACUUUAAGUUGGGAGGAAGGGCAUUAACCUAAUACGUUAGUGUUUUGACGUUGCCACCUGAAUAAGCACCGGCUAACUUCCUGCCAUCAGCCGCGGUAAUACGAAGGGUGCAAGCGUUAAUCGGAAUUACUGGGCGUAAAGCGCGCGUAUGUGGUUCGUUAAGUUGGAUGUGAAAGCCCCGGGCUCAACCUGGGAACUGCAUCCAAAACUGGCGAGCUAGAGUACGGAAGAGGGUAGUGGAAUUUCCUGUGUAGCGGUGAAAUGCGUAGAUAUAGGAAGGAACACCAGUGGCGAAGGCGACUACCUGGACUGAUACUGACACUGAGGUGCGAAAGCGUGGGGAGCAAACAGGAUUAGAUACCCUGAUAGUCCACGCCGUAACGAUGUCAACUACCCGUUGGAAUCCUUGAGAUUUAGUGGCGCCGCUAACGCAUUAAGUUGACGCCUGGGGAGUACGGCCGCAAGGUUAAAACUCAAAUGAAGUGACGGGGGCCCGCACAAGCGGUGGGAGCAUGUGGUUUAAUUCCUAAGCAACGCGAACAACUACCUGACAUGACAUGCUGAGAACCUUUCUCAAUGGAUGGUGCUUCGGACCUCGACUCAGUGCUGCAUGCCUGUCGUCACUUGUGUUGUGAGAUGUUGGGUUAAGUUCCGUAACGAGCGCAACCCUUGUCUUUAGUUACCAGCCCGUUAUGGUGGGCAUUUUAAGGAGACUGCCGGUGCCAAACCGGAGGAAGGUGGGGAGGACGUCAAGUCAUCAUGGCCCUUACGCCCAGGGCUACACACGUGUUCCAAUGGUCGGUCCAAAGGGUUGCCAAGCCGCGAGGUGGAGCUAUUCCCAUAAAACCGAUUCUAGUCCGGAUCCCAGUCUGCAAUUGGACUGCGUGAAGUCGGAAUCGCUAGUAAUCGUGAAUCAGAAUGUCCCGGUGAAUACGUUCCCGGCCCUGGUCCCCCCCGCCCGUCCCACCAUGGGAGUGGGUCUCCAGAAGAGUUAGUCUACCCUUCGGGCCCGCACCAAGAGGACCAGACUGGGGGAAGUCUACAAGAGCAGGCCCC
rnacentral:rRNA from 1 species